CGAGGUUUAGCAAAUCUCUUAAAGCCGUUCUCAGUUCGGAUUGUAGGCUGCAACUCGCCUACAUGAAGUCGGAAUCGCUAGUAAUCGCGGAUCAGCAUGCCGCGGUGAAUACGUUCCCGGGCCUUGUACACACCGCCCGUCACACCAUGAGAGUUUGUAACACCCAAAGCCGGUGGGGUAACCUUUUGGAGCCAGCCGUCUAAGGUGGGACAGAUGAUUGGGGUGAAGUCGUAACAAGGUAGC
rnacentral:rRNA from 1 species